rnacentral:rRNA from 1 species
UAGGGAAUCUUCGGCAAUGGACGAAAGUCUGACCGAGCAACGCCGCGUGAGUGAAGAAGGUUUUCGGAUCGUAAAACUCUGUUGUUAGAGAAGAACAAGGACGUUAGUAACUGAACGUCCCCUGACGGUAUCUAACCAGAAAGCCACGGCUAACUACGUGCCAGCAGCCGCGGUAAUACGUAGGUGGCAAGCGUUGUCCGGAUUUAUUGGGCGUAAAGCGAGCGCAGGCGGUUUCUUAAGUCUGAUGUGAAAGCCCCCGGCUCAACCGGGGAGGGUCAUUGGAAACUGUGGGACUUGAGUGCAGAAAAGGAGGGGGGAAUUCCAUGUGUAUCGGUGAAAUGCGUAGAUAUAUGGAGGAACACCAGUGGCGAAGGCUGCUCUCUGGUCUGUAACUGACGCUGAGGCUCGAAAGCGUGGGGAGCAAACAGG